rnacentral:rRNA from 1 species
AGAGGGUGCUAGCGUUAAUCGGAAUUACUGGGCGUAAAGAGCGCGUAGGCGGAUGUAUAAGUCAGAUGUGAAAGACCUGGGCUUACCCUAGGGGUGGCAUUUGAUACUGUGCAUCUAGAGUUGAGUAGAGGGAAGUGGAAUUUCCGGUGUAGCGGUGAAAUGCGUAGAUAUCGGAAGGAACACCAGUGGCGAAGGCGACUUUCUGGACUCAAACUGACGCUGAGGCGCGAAAGCGUGGGGGGAGCGAACAGGAUUAGAUACCCUGGUAGUCCACGCUGUAAACGAUGAGAACUAGCUGUUGGUAGGCUUGACCUAUCAGUGGCGCAGCUAACGUAUUAAGUUCUCCGCCUGGGGAGUACGGCCGCAAGGCUA